UAUUAUCAAGUUGAACCUUUCUUAAUAUUCUUAUUGCAACUGCAAAAGAUUCCAUAAUAGUUCCCUACUCAAUUAUAUUUUAAGAAUUUUAUCAUUUUAUGGUAACUAUUUUUGUAAACAAAACAUUUGACUAUUUAAAAAAAAAACAAAGCAUACAUGUUCAUAUAGUCAUCAAGUAUGGUACUUGAUGUAUAUAUAUGUUUUUUUACUUCUCUCUAAUAGCCAUAUUCAACUUUUAGGUCUUGAUUUCAUGAUAUCAUCUAACUAACGCAAGUGCAAGUUGAUGGAUUAAAGAAAACUUUCUUUUUGGAAAAAAAAACUUAACUAUUCCGUCAAAAUAAGAGACAAAACAAAGUUCAAAAGAAAAAAAAAUCCGGCAAAACUAGUGAAUCGCACUAAUUCCAAAGAGAAUUCUACAAUUUGUCUUUUUUCCACUUCUCAACUCCCACUAAUAAACCCGAAAAGUCAUUACGUAAUAAUUUCAUUUUGCGCACUAUUAUUUAAAACUAAUGCUAGUAAAUUUCAAUGUGUUACACAAAUUUUCCAAGACAAAUUGAUUUUAUAAUAUUUAAGGAAUAAAGGGAAAUAUCAAAUAUCGUUUUUGAUUGGUG
rnacentral:lncRNA from 1 species